rnacentral:rRNA from 1 species
GACAUCCAGAGAACUUAGCAGAGAUGCUUUGGUGCCUUCGGGAACUCUGAGACAGGUGCUGCAUGGCUGUCGUCAGCUCGUGUUGUGAAAUGUUGGGUUAAGUCCCGNAACGAGCGCAACCCUUAUCCUUUGUUGCCAGCGGCUCGGCCGGGAACUCAAAGGAGACUGCCGGUGAUAAACCGGAGGAAGGUGGGGAUGACGUCAAGUCAUCAUGGCCCUUACGGCCAGGGCUACACACGUGCUACAAUGGCGCAUACAAAGAGAAGCGACCUCGCGAGAGCAAGCGGACCUCAUAAAGUGCGUCGUAGUCCGGAUUGGAGUCUGCAACUCGACUCCAUGAAGUCGGAAUCGCUAGUAAUCGUAGAUCAGAAUGCUACGGUGAAUACGUUCCCGGGCCUUGUACACACCGCCCGUCACACCAUGGGAGUGGGUUGCAAAAGAAGUAGGUAGCUUAACCUUCGGGAGGGCGCUUACCACUUUGUGAUUCAUGACUGGGGUGAAGUCGUAACAAGGUAAGCGUACGUGU